CAAGUUUCCAACUUUCUGGUUAGUUUCAGCAAAAUUUGGCACGGAAGGUGAGAAUUUUAUUACCAUUAUCAUGUUAAAUGUUUUUGGAGAACUUACAGCUGGUGGCGGGGAGAGUUCUCAUGCUGGAAGGAAGGACAACUCAGGCAGGGCAGAUGUACAGAUUGGACUGUUUAGAGGUGGAUUAUUGUGUCAUGGUGAUUUAGACAAAGUCUAGGACAUGCUUGAUGAAACUUGGAAUCACUAGUACCACUGCUCACAGAACACCUUUUUAUUUCUAUCUUGCAAAACUUUCACCACUGAAGAGGGCCUGGACCACUUAUAUGCUGCUUAAGUUCUUUUACAAGGUUGGAUUUUCUUCAGUAGUAUCCCAAGUAAAUAAUAUGAUUGAGAAGUCUAAUCCUGUUGAUAUUCCUUUUGGAUGCUCUGCACUGGGAGUAGCUGUGAAACCUGAAGAACAACUGAAAAAACCCACGUCGCUCUGAAAAAGAGGAUCUCAUCUUGAAAUGGAAAAGUGCAUCACAUUUUCAGGAGAAAAUGAAAGAAGUGUGAAAAACACCUGGAUGAAGAGAGGAGUCUGUGUGGCCUGGCAGACCUACUGGAACCAAGCCUGCAAUAAUAUUGUCUCAGUGAGCUGAUAGGUGUGAGGGCACCUGCAGGCAGAUAAAAUGUGUUUCUGUUUGUAUCAGAAUUUGCUACUGAGAACUCCGAAUUGUCUCGACGUCAGGACAAUCUGCAAUUUUCUCCUGAAAGACUUGGAAAGCGGGGAAGCAAAAUUAAAAAGAAAAUCAACUCCAUGCUUUUUCAUUAGUUCUGGCAGCUUCCCCUAGAAACACACCCAUACUCAGCAGUAUCAUUCUUUAUUUAGCUCUGAACAGACUGGAGGACCUUAGUGAAUUCUUUCUCCCUCCUCCUUUGCAGAUAAUAGCAGUGAUGCUGCCACAUAUUUUGCAAAGUGCUCUUUUCUGGAGCUGAGAUUGAGUUACAUCCAAUGUGAUAGACCCCACUGGCAGCCGCGUGUUCUUAGCAGAGACAUUCCAUUACCAUGCCAAGUUAUUUUUAAUUCUAUCUUGUUUUUUAAUUUUUUUUUUUUAAACCAAUGCAUAAAAGAAAGCUAUUGAGUUGCUCAGUCAAUGUUAGUUUAUUAUUGCUUACUCAAGUGUUUAAUAAACCUAUCCCAACCCUGGAUGUAGCUUUAAAUACUUCAUUGACUGUAACAAAGCAGAUUUUCCCAAUCAGACCAAAGUGGCUCUAUAAACUAUAAUUAAGCACUAAUUAUGAGCUCUACUGGUCAGAUAACAGAAAGCAAGGUCCAUUGUGCUAUUGGCAGAACCAGCAAUUAAAGGAGAUUAUUGUUGUCAGAAAUGGAAUAAAACAAACAAAGGAAAAAUUUGUGAGUAAGGGAAGAUUUGUAAUUGACCUGAGUAAACUUCAUCUUGCUUGUGGCUUUGAGACACAUGACAUCAUGAAGAACCCAAUAUAUGAUGGCAUAGAACAGAUGUAAUAAGUUCUUCUGGAAAAUCCACAGUUUUUUUGGACAACAGGUUGCACAGCCAGGUUCUGCUUGGCUCUACUCUCCUACAUUAAAUGCCAAUCCCUUACAGUGCAAACCAGAAGUUUUAUGUUUAGAACAAAAAUAUUUUCAAGGAAAAUAUUGUCUCGGUACUAUUUUUUGCUGGUUCUUAUAAAGCAUUCGAAGGCAGAGAGUGCCACAUUGCUCAUAGGCUUAAGAAGUAGAAAAUGGAAUUGAAGCUGAAUGAAGGCUCGAUUGACUCCCCGGAAAGGAGGGGAAAGACCCUCUACAACAGGUGAAAAGGAAGUGUGGUUUUAUAAAUUUGUUCCAUUUUAACAGGACUGGCUUCUUUUCACUUACUCCAUUUUUACACUGGCUUAACUUGAUUGGCUCCAGUGGAGUUUUCAAUUAUGCCAGAUCCCACUGAAGUGUUAUUAGCAGACUGCUUGGAAUUUCUCUUGAAAGUCUGAAAGUGUUUCUGAGUUAACAAUAUACUCUUCCCCUUUCCCCCUUUGA